GCUUGAACUUGAAUUAGCAGUGGCGUUCAAAAUGCGAAUCGUAUGUGUGUGUUUUGUGUGAUACUGUUGUGAAGUAUACGUAAAGUGCUUGUCUCGAAAAUUUUGAGAGCAAAUGUUUUUUAGUUUUUCUGAUCAUUCCAGUGUUACAGCUGCUUUUUGGUGUGUGUGGAAAUAGGUUGUCGUAAAGCAGGCUAAUCAUCUCUGGAGUAUGUGCUUGUGGAACAUCUCAGUACAACUCCAGGAUUUUAUCUUGGAUUUUGAGGAGAGACGGGAGGGGACUGGACCGUGGCACUGUAAGUCCAGCCUCCUGUGAUGGGCUAGCAGCCAGGAUUGCCUUACGAGACAGACCAAUUACCAGACGCCGGUUCUGAUGAGGAUAGUGACAUUCGUGAAUGGGUCAGGCAGAGGGUCACUGAAAUAGAGGCGAAAAGGCAUCUCGUUCUGGCCCUGUUUAAUGAUGGUGGUGAUCACUUCUUUGAGGAUGUGGGGGAGUCGCCCAGUGAAAUGUUCAUGCCUUGGAGCCAGAGCAAAAAAGUGCCUGGUAAAGUACGCGUCUCCUCUAAGGGCGCCGCUACACAUAGCACGGGAGGUCACAAUUGCCACCCAGCAGCACCGCUCUGGUGUCUGCGGACCUACCAAUGAUCUACCACCCCUCAAGUUAUCGAUCGAGUCUGCAACAGCAGCAAAAGCAACAGCAUUGGGAACCAUAGCCACAGCCUGGCUGUUCUCAUUGGUGUGACCCGGUAGCACUACAGCAUCCUCCUCUGUCAUCCAUAUCAG